rnacentral:rRNA from 1 species
UACGAAGGGGGCUAGCGUUGCUCGGAAUCACUGGGCGUAAAGCGCACGUAGGCGGGCUCUUAAGUCGGUGGUGAAAUCCUGGAGCUCAACUCCAGAACUGCCUCCGAUACUGAGAGUCUUCGAGUCCGGGAGAGGUGAGUGGAACUGCGAGUGUAGAGGUGAAAUUCGUAGAUAUUCGGAAGAACACCAGUGGCGAAGGCGACACACUGGCUCACUACUGACGCUGAGGCGCGAAAGCGUGGGGAGCAAACAGG